rnacentral:rRNA from 1 species
GAUGAACGCUGGCGGCGUGCUUAACACAUGCAAGUCGAACGGAAAGGCUCGACCGUGCCGGGGUACUCGAGUGGCGAACUUGUGAGUAACACGUGGGUGAUCUGGCGUGCACUUCGUGAUAAGUCCGGGAAACUGGGACUAAGACCGGAUAGUACGAUGCUCUGGAGGCCAUAGUGGCAAGUUAUUCGGGGGGGGAUGAUCUCGCGGCCUAUCAGCUUGUUGGUGGGGUAUUGGCCUAGCACGGCGUCGACGGGUAGCCGGCCUGAGGGGGGGAUCGGCCACAUUGGGACUGAGAUACGGCCCAGACUCAUACGGGAGGCAGCAGUGGGGAAUAUUGCACAAUGGGCGGAAGCCUGAUGCAGCGCAGCCGCGUGGGGGAUGACGGCAUUCGGGUUGUAAACUCCUUUCGCUUGGGACGAAGCGAAAGUGACGGUACCUGGGGAAGAAGCACCGGCUAACUACGUG